GCGGGCGUAGCUCAGUGGUAGAGCAGCAGGUUUCCAUCCUGCGUGCCGCGGGUUCGAUCCCCGCCGCCCGCU
rnacentral:tRNA from 1 species